rnacentral:rRNA from 1 species
GGAAGAAGAAGUCGUAACAAGGUUUCCGUAGGUGAACCUGCGGAAGGAUCAUUAGCGUUGAUUGGUCUUGGUGCCAUGCGAAAAACAUGUGGAUCGUGGGCUAUGUGACCCCUCUGUGGGGGGUAUUUUGUCGCGAACUUGGAGAUUUGGCUGAUGGAUAUACAUGAUAGAUAAACAAAAUACAACUCUUAGCAAUGGAUAUCUUGGUUCCCACAACGAUGAAGAACGCAGCGAAAUGCGAUACGUAAUGCGAAUUGCAGAAUUCAGUGAAUCAUCGAAUCUUUGAACGCAAGUUGCGCUUUCGAGAGCCCUCGGAAGCAUGCCUCUCUGAGUAUCGGUUUCUAUAUCUCUCACAUACUCACUGGUGGUGUGUGGUGGUGGAGAAUGGGAGUUGCGCACGUCUCUCUGCAUCUCCUGAAGUCAGCGUCGGCCGAAGUCCAUCGGGUUCUUGGAACGAUAAUCCGUCAUGGCGCCCAAACCAUACACACAAGAUCUCAGAUGAGGUAAGACUACCCGCCGAAUUUAAGCAUAUCAAUAAGCGGAGGA